rnacentral:rRNA from 1 species
CCUACGGGGGACAGCAGUGAGGAAUAUUGGUCAAUGGGCGGAAGUCUGAACCAGCCAAGUAGCGUGCAGGAUGACGGCCCUACGGGUUGUAAACUGCUUUUAUACGGGAAUAACGCGCCUUACGUGUAGGGCUUUGCAUGUACCGUAUGAAUAAGGACCGGCUAAUUCCGUGCCAGCAGCCGCGGUAAUACGGAAGGUCCGGGCGUUAUCCGGAUUUAUUGGGUUUAAAGGGAGCGCAGGCCGCAUGUCAAGCGUGCUGUGAAAUGUCCGGGCUCAACCCGGGCCUUGCAGCGCGAACUGGCGGGCUUGAGUCCGCGGAAAGCAGGCGGAAUUCGUCGUGUAGCGGUGAAAUGCUUAGAUAUGACGAAGAACCCCGAUUGCGAAGGCAGCUUGCUGCAGCGGAACUGACGCUGAUGCUCGAAGGCGCGGGUAUCGAACAGGAUUAGAUACCCUGGUAGUC